UCCUCUACUCAGGGUUUCCUUGUUCCAAUUCUGUUCUCUUUGUUCAUCUCACUCAAACCCAACGACCUUCAAACCACCCAGAAACAUUCACCUCACUCGAUUCUACAAAUUACCCACUCACCUUCGUUCUUCUUCAAUCUCACUUCACCUAGAAACCCUCAACCUUCUUUAAACCUUCGUCACUCUCACUCCAUCCAGAACCCUUCUUCUUCGACCUUCUUCUCACCCAGAAACUCACUGAAACCCUAAACCCCGUAGAAUGUCAAUUAAUUGAACCCAGAUUCCCAUUGAAACCCUUAAAUAAAAAUCAAUUGAACCUUGAGAACUCGCUGAAACCCUAAAACCAUCUUUCCCAAUCGUUCUUCAUUGUCCAUCGUUUCAGAAGUCGUUUACCCAGAAACUCUUCAUCGUUCCGCCAUCGUUCAUCGCAGUUGAACCUCCAUCUUAUCAUGAGAGGAGUUGUUUCUAGAUGUGGUGCUGUUGUGUUGGUGUUUCUGAAUUUUUUCUUUGAGAUUGUCUUCUUUUUUGGUUUGGGAGUGUAGGUGUAAUUUUGGAGUGUGUUUUAGCUUGAUAUAAGAUUAUUUGCCUUAGUGCCUCUACAAACAAACAGUCUAACAUACAAAAGUAGGCAGAGGAAAAAGCUGCUUUGAUCAUGGAAGAAUUACACUCUGAUGACACUGGAUUUAUCAUGACAGUUGGAGAUGUUUGUUGCACAUGAGUUUUGGGUAGUGAUGGAAUGGUUCUUGUAAAGAAGGGCUGCUCAAAUGCAUCUUCUCCAUAAAUUUGCAAGUUGCAAUAGGCGAUGAUUUCCAAUUUUAAGAUAAAUUUAUAAUGUUUUCAAUCCCUAUAAUGAUGCCUCUGCUAUUAGAAUAUAAUUUAAUUUACCAUUAGUUCUAGUUGAUAUAUUAUAAUUUAUCUUUGUUUUUAUUGGGCAGGAAACUUGACAUGUUUCUAUAUAUGAAUUAAGAAUGUCUUAUAGAUUAUGAUCAAUGUUUUUAUAAUGGAAAAUUGGCUUGUGGAUUAUGAAUGUAUUGCCCCAGGAGCUUGUUAUAAAACCUGAAAUAAAUUUGAUUAGUGGUGAUUACGGCGUUGGGAAGAGUACUCUAUUGUUGCAGGUAUGGUGUUAGGUAGAUUACGUGCUUAAAUUUAAUAUCACUAUUUUGUGUCCUUUUCUUGUAUUACCCAAAAAUUGGGAAGUAUGUCUUAGGAAUGGACAAGACCUUCUUUAAAAAAUUUCUGAAAUCUUACUUAAAUACAAGUGAUAGCAGCAUUGGAUCAUGUUUUGUUUCAAACUUCAGAAGAGCUGAGCAUAGCAUAUAAGGGAAAUGAAGAGGAUCAGAGAUACAUAUAAAAGAUUUGAAGAGCUUUGUGUUUGGGUUCGAAGAGUUUUUCUUUAAAGGACUGAAUAUCUAUUUAUGGAUAGCAAAUUUAUAUGUAUCUGACUCUCAAUUGUCUAUCCCUCCUGAUUGAAUCUGAGAGGCUUUGCUGCUCUCUUGCGGUCUGACUUUGGCCCACUCUUUUUUUGAUUCCGCUCAAUUGCGCGAUCUUUGUAAGGUAGUUUGAAUUUUAUAGGCCUUCCUUUUUCGAUGAAGUGGAUCGUUCUCAUCAAGUGACAGAAAAAAGAGUUUUGCAGCUGUUGUUAGAUGUCAAAUUUGUCAUUGAUAUUAUCAGAAGAAAGCAGGGCCAAAGUUUGACGAUCUCAUUUGUAGUGGUGUUUGUGUUUGUACUAUUCAAUUCUGAUUUGUCUUGUAGCUCGGAUAGGUUUUGUUUAUGAAAUGAAUGUAUUACGAGUUGUUGUUUUAUU